AUGACGGCCCAACAUCCAAAUAUUACCCGGUUGAUUGGCUACUGUUAUUAUCUAGGACAUCAACGCAUUAAGUACAAUGAUGAAUAUGUUUUUGCCCAUGUGGUAGAAAGUUUUCUGUGCUUUGAAUACUUGAAGAGUGGAAGCCUUGACAAGCAUAUUUCUGAUGAAUCAUGCGGACUCGAUUGGCACACACGCUUCAAAAUUAUUAAGGGAGUUAGCGAGGGCUUAAAUUACCUUCAUAAUGGAUGCAAAGGUUCUAUUUACCAUCUUGACUUGAAACCUGGAAAUAUAUUGCUAGACAAGAACAUGGUCCCAAAAAUUGGAGAUUUUGGUUUGUCAAGACUUUUCCAAUCAGAAAAAACCCAUAUCACAAGCAAAUUUGUGGGAACAGUUGGAUACAUGCCACCAGAAUACAUCAAUAGAGGCGCAAUCACAACGAAGUUUGAUGUAUUCAGUUUGGGCGUUAUAAUCGUUCGGAUAGUGGCAGGACAUGAGGGCUAUUCCAAAUUUGAACAAAUGUCUCCUCAAGAAUUUAUUGAGCAUGUACAUGAAAACUGGAGAAAACGGCUGCAGGAAACAAUGUCAUCGUACACAUCAGAGCAAGUUAAAACAUGCAUUGAAAUAGCGUUAAGGUGUGUGGAGUUUGACCGAGAGAAAAGGCCUACCAUAGCGGAUAUUGUCGAUGAAUUGAAUAAGAUUGAGGGUGCUGGAAGUUCAGCUAUAGGCAAGAUCUCAGAAGAAACUGAGCACGCCCCGGAAAAACAACUAGACAUUGAAGAACAAAAAAUAAAGUGUACAAAAGAGCAUACCAGAUACGCGAGAACAAACCGCAUUUCCACUCUCGUGAAGUAUCAUGCAGCAGAGUCAAUCGGUUUCGUAAUUGGUGCCAUGGUCUCCCUCUGUCUGACCCCCAAGCUGGUCGAGCUCCCCAGCGACGAGUACAACUUGCAUGCGAACUGCAAGAAAGAGGUAGAGUACCUCUACAAAGAGUUGGUGAGCAUGCAAGCUGGCCCGCGCGACCUGGCCAAGGUGCCGCGGAACCAGCUGGAU
rnacentral:rRNA from 1 species